GGAUGUGUGGGCAAUCUGGCUGUGACAUCUGUCACCCCAUUGAUCACGAGUGCUGAUUUGGCUGAUCUGGCUGGCAUGUUUCCCUGUCCUCCCUCACCACUCCAUGUGCAUCCUUCCUGAAGCCAUGAACUCCAAGAGGAAGUCCUCCUGCAAUGGAAAAGUCGAGGGUAUAUGAGGAGCUGUGAUCCCAUGCUAGAACCUCCAAUCAAGCUCUCAAGGUCCAUUUUUAGGGGAACAUAGAGCAGUCAAGCUCUCUAGACAGUAGACACAUCCAAAUGAAGCACAACAUGUGGCAGUCUGUUUUUCCUU
ensembl:misc_RNA 7SK 7SK RNA